GUCCAGCAAGUCAAGAGACAAGCAGGAGCAGGAAAGCGACAGGACGAGGGAAUAAAAUACAAUUUUGGCCAAAAAAAAAAAAAAGACAAGAGGUAAAAAAAAACAACUUUUGGCAUGGACUUCAAACGCGCAGCGAGAGGAGUGGAGAUGAGCGGAGAGCGUGAUUCACGGCCACGUCGGGGCCCUCCCGCCGGCAUUGGAGCUACAGUCUGCACAGCCGGCAGGUUCUUACUGGUGGCUCCGUUCACAAAGCUGGACGAGGUGGAGGAGUUGGUGGAAGAGGAGGCCGCUUCCGUCGGACCUGAGGAACACAGACACACAGAAUGGCGGUGGCCGUGUGCUGGUGAAGGUGUGUGAGCUCUUAAUGGCCUUUGGAUUGACUGGGGCCUUUCACAGAGGGAGCGGGAGAGGGAGAGACAGACAGACAGACAGACAGACAGCCUCCAGCCACCUCAGGGCGCUGGCCUUCAGCGGAUGAGAGUGGCCAGACAGAGCGGCCCAGAGACCCGGCAGCAGCAGACAGCAGGACCAAAAAGAAGGACGACGCCGGCAGCGGCAGCGGUGGUGGUGGUGGCGGCAAGCUAGUGCGGACGACAGCAUGGGCCUUUAGGGAAAAGUAAACAUCCUGCCCAGGGUGACUGAGCGCCACGCUCCCCGCCAGAGCAAACAAAUCCAGGGCUCAGACAUCAAGUGCGUGUGUGUGUGUGUGUGUGUGUGUGUG